rnacentral:rRNA from 1 species
UACAGAGGUCCCAAGCGUUGUUCGGAUUCACUGGGCGUAAAGGGUGCGUAGGCGGUCGGGUAAGUCUGACGUGAAAUCUUCAAGCUUAACUUGGAAACUGCAUUUGAUACUGGCGUGCUUGAGGACUGGAGAGGAGACUGGAAUUUACGGUGUAGCAGUGAAAUGCGUAGAGAUCGUAAGGAAGACCAGUGGCGAAGGCGGGUCUCUGGACAGUUCCUGACACUGAGGCACGAAGGCCAGGGGAGCAAACGGG